rnacentral:rRNA from 1 species
UACGUAGGGGGCAAGCGUUGUCCGGAUUUAUUGGGCGUAAAGAGCGUGUAGGCGGCCAUGUAGGUCCGUUGUGAAAACUCGAGGCUCAACCUCGAGACGCCGAUGGAAACCAUGUGGCUAGAGUCCGGAAGAGGAGAGUGGAAUUCCAGUGUAGCGGUGAAAUGCGUAGAUAUCUGGAGGAAUACCGGUGGCCGAAGGCGGCAAGUCCUGGACCGACAUUGACGCUGAUGAGCGAAAGCUAAGGGGAGCAAACGGGG